UACGUAGGGGGCUAGCGUUGUCCGGAAUCAUUGGGCGUAAAGCGCGUGUAGGCGGCUCGGUAAGUCCGCUGUGAAAGUCGGGGGCUCAACCCUCGGAUGCCGGUGGAUACUGUCGGGCUAGAGUACGGAAGAGGAGAGUGGAAUUCCUGGUGUAGCGGUGAAAUGCGCAGAUAUCAGGAAGAACACCCGUGGCGAAGGCGGCUCUCUGGGACGGUACUGACGCUGAGACGCGAAAGCGUGGGGAGCGAACAGG
rnacentral:rRNA from 1 species